UAGGGAAUCUUCCGCAAUGGACGCAAGUCUGACGGAGCAACGCCGCGUGAGUGAAGAAGGAUUUCGGUUCGUAAAACUCUGUUGUUAGAGAAGAACAGCGCAUAGAGUAACUGUUAUGCGUGUGACGGUAUCUAACCAGAAAGCCACGGCUAACUACGUGCCAGCAGCCGCGGUAAUACGUAGGUGGCAAGCGUUGUCCGGAUUUAUUGGGCGUAAAGCGAGCGCAGGCGGUCAAUUAAGUCUGAUGUGAAAGCCCCCGGCUCAACCGGGGAGGGUCAUUGGAAACUGGUUGACUUGAGUGCAGAAGCGGUGAGUGGAAUUCCAUGUGUAGCGGUGAAAUGCGUAGAUAUAUGGAGGAACACCAGUGGCGAAGGCGACUCUCUGGUCUGUAACUGACGCUGAGUCUCGAAAGCGUGGGUAGCAAACAUG
rnacentral:rRNA from 1 species